UACGGAGGGUGCAGGCGUUAUCCGGAUUCACUGGGUUUAAAGGGUGCGUAGGUGGGUUGGUAAGUCAGUGGUGAAAUCCCCGAGCUUAACUUGGGAACUGCCAUUGAUACUAUUAACCUUGAAUACCGUGGAGGUCAGCGGAAUAUGUCAUGUAGCGGUGAAAUGCUUAGAUAUGACAUAGAACACCAAUUGCGAAGGCAGCUGGCUACGCGAAUAUUGACACUGAUGCACGAAAGCGUGGGGAUCAAACAGG
rnacentral:rRNA from 1 species